UAGGGAAUCUUCGGCAAUGGACGAAAGUCUGACCGAGCAACGCCGCGUGAGUGAAGAAGGUUUUCGGAUCGUAAAACUCUGUUGUUAGAGAAGAACAAGGACGUUAGUAACUGAACGUCCCCUGACGGUAUCUAACCAGAAAGCCACGGCUAACUACGUGCCAGCAGCCGCGGUAAUACGUAGGUGGCAAGCGUUGUCCGGAUUUAUUGGGCGUAAAGCGAGCGCAGGCGGUUUCUUAAGUCUGAUGUGAAAGCCCCCGGCUCAACCGGGGAGGGUCAUUGGAAACUGGGGGACUUGUGUGCAGAAGAGGAGAGUGGAAUUCCAUGUGUAGCGGUGAAAUGCGUAGAUAUAUGGGGGAACACCAGUGGCGAAGGCGGCUCUCUGGUCUGUAACUGACGCUGAGGCGCGAAAGCGUGUGGAGCAAACAGG
rnacentral:rRNA from 1 species